CCUCCCCCAGGGCUCUCUCUGUAUCUCCCUCCUCCAAUCUACAUGGGCUACAUUGGAGGGAUUGGGGGCAGGGCUUGUGGAAUAGAGGACAGGGGGACAGCAUCCAACUGCUGUGACCUAAAAUCAAAAGAGGAAGAGUUAGGAAUUGGCCAAAAGUCAAGCCCCAGACCCGUGGCUCACCCCAGCCUCUCGGUCUCUCGGAGGACUUGUCUGGGGCUGCAGGAAUGGCAAAGAUUGACUCCUCCCGGCCUUCCUCGUGAGGCCUCCCCUCCAGCGCUCAGGCUGCUGAGGGCCCCUGUUAACGCUUUCUCAGGCCCCAAGCCCAGCCUGAACUUGAAUCCUCAGUUAGUGGUUGGUAGGCUCUGAGCAUCAGGAUGGCACCUCUGAGUGUCCUGCAACGGCUUGGUGUUGAGCAGGUGCUCAAUACACACACACGGAAUGAAGCAGCCCCUCUGAAACCAUCACCUAUCAGCCAGAAGGGGGCACUCUGCUGCCUACGGAGAUGGGAGAGCUCACUAUUUAGAUGAACAGGAACAUGCAAGGGCCAACUAGGCUGUGUUAUUUGCCCUUGGCCUUGAAUGAUCACCUGCUCCAUGGUCUUGAGAUCCCAGGGGGAGCUGGCUUCUGCUACUCUGCGUUUGCAGACUAUCCUGCUUGCCACGGGAGCUAGGCCAGCCCCUUUCCCAUUGCUCCCAAGGAACUGAAGCUGAGAGGCCUCUGGCUUCCUCCCUGGGGCCUGGCUGAGGUCCUUACCAUCUAAAGGCCUUGUAGUGAGGGACAGGAGAGACUCACAGAGGCAAACCCAUCAUCUCCCUCCCUUGUCUCCCAGAAAGCCUGAUGCUUGGGCAGGGGGUGGCUUCCCAAAGCAUUUAACCUGAGAUGUGUGAUGGUGCUGAUCCUCAUCUCUUUCCUCUAGCCUGGCCCCUGAGAUCCCCACUAGCUCCCCGGGGACCCAGCGCCCUGAAGUCUCGGGCCUGACCUAGCCUGUGCUCCAGGGGCAGAGAAAGUCUGGUCGCCACCUUGUCUCUACCGGGAGAAAGUGAGAAUGAAGCCAAUGUGGAGAAUUGCAAAGAGGUUGGAGUCCACGACCCAGCCUCACCUGGACUUUUCAGUUACAAAACUCAGUGAACUGCAUGUGCUGCUUAGGGGCUGACGGUCAAGUGUUGGAGGUGUCUUCUCAGGUGCCUGCCCUUCCCAGAUGGGCUGUAUGGUGAGAUCUUGUCCCCACAUGCACCCAAACUGCUUGGACAAGGGUGGUCAUUUGACCAGGGGCUGGGCUGCCCACUCAGACUCUUCUGGGAAUUUGGAAUUGGGCAUGGUCCUUCUGGGUCAGAGGCUGCAAACACUGGACUUGAGGGGCUGGGAGACUGAGGCUGCAGGGCCUCUGCAGACAGCAGGUAUGCUAGGCUUUGGCCAGCCGACACUGGUAUUACAUCCUGCUCUUCCAGUAGGGGGCGUAUCCUCUUGGAAGAAGGUCCGGAAGAAGGGCCUGGAAGUCUCCUGCCCCAGAGGCUCUGGAGAGAACACGGCCCUGCCAACACCUUGAUUGGACUUCUAGCCUCCAGGACUGUGAGAGGAUAUAUUUCUGUUACUUUCAGGGGGACAAGUACCAGCUUGUGGUACUUGUCACGGCAGCCACAGAAGUUACUAUCCUCUGCAAUUGCACAGGGACAGCAGAAACCUAGGGUACAGUAUAGAUGCACCCUUGGGGGUGCCAGGGGCAGCUACGCAGGUUGGUGACACCCUCUCUUCCUUUUAAUUCCCCAGUCCUGGCCUUCCUGCAGCUGGUGGUCCCUGGUGAGUUGAGCCUUAUCUGAGCCCAUUCAACCCUAUGCAGCCAAUCCCUGUAUUAAAUUCCUUCCACUUGAAACACCUGGACAGUUUCUGUUCUGGCUGUGUUCUGACUGCUCCAGAGAGAGAGAACAUAAAUCGUAUCCUCUAUAGCUACCACGGGCCACAGGACUGGCUCUCGGCUCUAGUCUGCCCUCAGUGUAAUCUAAUGGGUCUCAAACGGGGAAGAUUCUGUCCCUCCCCUGCAGGUGGUGUUGGCAUUGUCUAGAAACAUCUUUGGUUGUCACACCUGGGUUGAGUGGGAGAGGUCUGCCACUGGCAUUUAGUGGGUGGAGGUCAGGGAUGUUGUCAACACCCUCCAGUGCCCAGGAUGGCCCCCACCAUGGAUAACAAUCCAGCCACAAAUGUCAAUAGUGCCAAGGUUGAGAAACCCUAGUUACCCUAAUGCCCAGCUGGCUCAGAGAAGCCUUGGAGGAAGCAAGUCUGUGAUGCAGCCACAUUCUAGAGAAACCCAUGCCCGAGAGGGAGCCAGAUCUCAGGAUCCCACACCCACACGUCCAGACUCACCAGAAAUGAGCAAAGAAAGAUGAAGGAAACGAAGUAAAAAUAAGCAAAUUCAUUGCCACACUCGGGAGUCAGGAUGCCAGAG